CCAACGCGCAAGCCGCAGGCUGGGCAGCGGCCGUGGGGAGUGGGAGCCGCCCGGCGAGGCGGGGUAGACGCCGGGAGCGGGCGCGGGGCCACCGAGAGGCUGCGGAUGUAGAACCCAGUCUAGAGGCCGACCGAGCGGUUGCAGCCCCUCGGGGAUUCGGGAGGCGAACGAGGAGGAAGGGAUCCGUGGGAGGAAAAGCCUCUAAACCGAACCUUCCGGGAAUCGAAGGAGCCUGGCUGGUCCCAUACCCUUCCCCGGCCCUGCCCCCUCCCCCCGCCCAAAGUGGGGAGGACGGCGCUGAGCCCCGGGAGGGUUGGUGGGUCAGCGAUCGAGGGUAGAGCAAGUCCUUCGGGGCGACCACCCUCUCGACCCCCGCCCCCGCCCAGGUGCAGCGCCCUCCCCAUCCCGGAAAACGCGCGCCCCAGCGGGCAGAGCAAUUGCACACGCGGCCGCGCGCGCCCACACAGGGUCUGACUUCGGGUCAACUUUCACGCGGUUCCCGGUGUGUGUGCACACGGCAGUGCCCGCACGCGCGUGCUCGUCUCCGCCCAGGUGCCCACCUCCCAUCGUCACCGGCGUCCCGACUCCUAGACCUUCGGGGGCCUCUGUUCUAACGGUGGCCUAGGGCGAGGGCAGGGGCGCGCAGGGCGAGCCAGAGGAGGGGGGCGAAGACGCCUCUGGGCUGCCCACGCCGCCCCCCAGCCUGCUCGACUUCCCCUCCCGCGUCACCCUUCGGACACCCCCAGUCCAUCGACGUGCCGGAGCUACACCGCCGCCCGCCCCUCCGGCCGCCCCCGCCCGCGUCCCCCGCCCCUCCUCCAGCCCUCCCCGCUCCGGCUCCUACACGAAAUCUUCGAUCACGCUCAGAAAGAAUGUGCUACAACCUCGGCGCGGCCACGGCCGCCACCACCGCGCCCGCGCCGGAGCCGGAGGAGCCGGAGCCGGAGCCGCCGCUGCCCCGCCUGUCCGGCCGGCCCCGGGCUCGCCGCGCGCUGUCUCCGCCGCCGCCGCCCCGCGCUCGCCCAGCGCUUGACGCAGUGAGCGCCGCAGCCCGGCUCCCGCCGGCUCCGCUCCGCUCCCCGUCGCAGGCCGAGCCCAGCCCGGCGGGCUCCGGGAGGGGCAGGCAGGGCGCUAGGGGGAGGAGAUCUGUCUGGAGCCAGCGAGGCCGGCGGAGGAAGAGCUGGAGGAAGGAGGGGAAGCCGCCGCCGCCGCCGCCGCCGCGCUCCGGGGACCUGGGCGCGCGCGCUGCGCUCUCCUGUGACCGUGCCUCCAGCCCCGGGCCCACAACCCAGAGCAGGAGCUGCCGGAGACCCUGUGUCCUGCCUGGACCCCCAUCUGUCUGUGUGUCCUGGAAUGAGGAGGUGAUGCCCAUGACCCUCACGGGGAGGAAUCCACCCACCUGGGCUCCGCAGACGGUGCAGCUCACCGGCGGGCCCUGAGCUGAAGGUAAGGGCCACCUCGCCUCGUGGGCCAUCUGGAUGAGGCAGCCCUGCAACCUGGAGGCAGGGGUGCUGGGUUGUGGGCGGGCCUCCAGUCCUCCGUGAGACCCGCUCUCCGACAGAAACGGAUGGCCUUCAGGGUCCGACUCCAGUGCAGUGGCGAUGCCCGCCCCAGAGAGGAGAUGGCCAAGGCUUCAGGGCCCCCUCGGGCCCGAGAGAAGCUCGGGGCUUUAGGAGACCAGGGGAUGGUGCUCCGGCCUGUCAUGUCCUCCCCAAUGGGGCACCAGGGCCCUGUGGGUUAAAGGAGGUUUUGUCUUCUCCCGCUUUGUGGGAACAGAUACAGCGUUGGGUUGGAGCGUGCACCGCCAUGCCCGCCGUGAGGCCAGUGUGUGCAGACAUGCCUCGUGUCUGCUUAAAGACAGGCUCUUUAUCCUGAAGAUGGAUGCUGGAUUGAACACCCCAGUGGGUGGGGGGUCAGAGCUGCCCUGCCACGGCCAGGGCUUCGGUGACCGCUGUGCCCUGUCUGCUGGGCGCCUCGUUCCAGCUGAAAAGCAGCCGGACAGGCUGUCUUCCGUCGGCUCAGAAGUCGCAGAUGCGCUCUCUUUGGGCAGUAUCUUGGUUUCUUGGGCCACGGGCACUUCCCGAGCCUCUGACUCGGCAGCCCUGACUCGGCUCCUGGGCCUGUGCCGUGGGGUGUCUGGGCUGACGGAUCUGGGCUGUUGUACCCCUGAACUGGCAGGGGUGCUGUCCGUAAGCUGCGGCGCACUGGCCGCUAACCGCGGACUUCAGGUUUGGGGUGUCUGUAGUGGGCCGUCGCUGCCGUUUUCUGCCGUGUAGAGGAUUCGCUAAGCUGAGUUUAUUUAAAGUGACCGUGACCUUACGCUCUGCCGACUGUCACUGGAGGUGACAGGAGGUGUUGGGGAGUUUGCGAGGCUUCCUCCUCCAUCACGCACUCCCCAGGCUUCUCCGUGGCUUUAGAUGGAGGCCUCUGGGGGCGGCU
ensembl:lncRNA